GAUGAAGAACGCAGCGAAAUGCGAUACUUGGUGUGAAUUGCAGAAUCCCGUGAACCAUCGAGUCUUUGAACGCAAGUUGCGCCCGAAGCCAUUAGGCCGAGGGCACGCCUGCCUGGGCGUCACACGUCGUUGCCCCCCCCAUCUACUCCUUCGGGAUUGCGGGGGGCGGAUGAUGGCCUCCCGUGCGCCUCGCCGCGCGGUUGGCAUAAAUGCCAAGUCCUCGGCGAUGCACGCCACGACAAUCGGUGGUUGCGAAACCUCGGUUGCCCGUCGUGUGCGGUCGUCGCGCAUCGAGGGCUCGAAAAAAUUGCCGGGUUCCGGCUCGGCUUUCAAUGCGACCCCAGGUCAGGCGGGGUUACCCGCUGAAUUUAAGCAUAUCAAUAAGCGGAGGA
rnacentral:misc_RNA from 1 species